UGGUUUUACUUUUAUUAUGUAGGACUUUGUUUUAACAAGCAGAUUGCAUCAGGUUGCUGAUACAGUUGUGAACUUGGAAUCGUUUGUGGGCUCCAACAAAAAGUCAAAUCCUUUAUUCAAAGAUUUUGAUGGUCUACUUCACAUUGUAAAAUUGCCAGUUUUGAAUACAUUUAUGUAUAAUAAUCCAACUACUGAUCUUGCUUUCAAGCUAAAACGGAAAGGGUUCCUUAUAGAACGGAUGCAUUUACCUCCAGAUUUAGAAGAACAAUCUGGUGAACCAAGUGCUUUUGGCUGCAGUGGUGGUGGAAGUAAAUACGAGUUUUAAUGGAUAAGGGAUUAAAAGUUUGGAGUGAUUGUGCCGUUAAAAGAAACUUUCUCCAUAAUCAGCCUUUUACCAUCCAAUGUACGUUAAGUUUCCAUGGCAGCAGUUAUAGCCAUUUUACUAAACCAUAAGAAGACACGGAGCCUAGCAUAA